AUUGAACGCUGGCGGCAGGCUUAACACAUGCAAGUCGUGCGGAAACGAUGUAGCUUGCUACAGGCGUCGAGCGGCGGACGGGUGAGUAACGCGUAGGAAUCUGCCUAGUAGUGGGGGACAACAUGUGGAAACGCAUGCUAAUACCGCAUACGCCCUACGGGGGAAAGGAGGGGAUCUUCGGACCUUUCGCUAUUAGAUGAGCCUGCGUAAGAUUAGCUAGUUGGUAGGGUAAAGGCCUACCAAGGCGACGAUCUUUAACUGGUCUGAGAGGAUGGCCAGUCACACUGGGACUGAGACACGGCCCAGACUCCUACGGGAGGCAGCAGUGGGGAAUAUUGGACAAUGGGCGCAAGCCUGAUCCAGCCAUGCCGCGUGUGUGAAGAAGGCCUUAGGGUUGUAAAGCACUUUCAGGGGUGAGGAAGGGUGUUUGGUUAAUAUCCAAACAUUUUGACGUUAGCCCCAGAAGAAGCACCGGCUAACUCUGUG
rnacentral:rRNA from 1 species